rnacentral:pre_miRNA from 1 species
AUGUGGCACUUUUCGAAUUUUGAGAUUCAAACAAGUCUAACUUUGACUGUAAUUUUUGCAUAGAUCUUUUAAACAUUUUGAAUUAUCAAUUGUUGUGACUUAUAGUACUUUUUACGUAGUUUACAAAUAUAUAAAUUUCAUUUCAAAAAAAUUGAAGAUUUCAUGCGCAAAUUCCCGGUCAAACUUGAACUAUUUGACUCUCGAAAAACGAAAAGUGUCACAUAA